GACGAACGCUGGCGGCGUGCUUAACACAUGCAAGUCGAACGGAAAGGCCCUGCUUUUGUGGGGUGCUCGAGUGGCGAACGGGUGAGUAACACGUGAGUAACCUGCCCUUGACUUUGGGAUAACUUCAGGAAACUGGGGCUAAUACCGGAUAGGAGCUCCUGCUGCAUGGUGGGGGUUGGAAAGUUUCGGCGGUUGGGGAUGGACUCGCGGCUUAUCAGCUUGUUGGUGGGGUAGUGGCUUACCAAGGCUUUGACGGGUAGCCGGCCUGAGAGGGUGACCGGCCCACUUGGGACUGGGAUACGGCCCAGACUCCUACGGGAGGCAGCAGUGGGGAAUAUUGCAAAAUGGGCCGAAGCCUUAUGCAGCAACGCCGCGUGCGGGAUGACGGCCUUCGGGUUGUAAACCGCUUUCGCCUGUGACGAAGCGUGAGUGACGGUAAUGGGUAAAGAAGCACCGGCUAACUACGUG
rnacentral:rRNA from 1 species